AGAAAUUAUUCUGACUGCCACGCAGAUUAAAUCUACGGAUUUAAUCUAGAUAUUAAAUGGCUUGUGAAGUGAAUUAAAUCUAUGUAUUUAAUUUAUACACGAAUAAUGAGCAGAAGCCAGUAUUUGAUUGCAAACACGCGAUUAAAUAGUAGAUGCACUGAGUAACCAAGACACAAAGAUUUAUUAUUAUUUACAAUUAGAACUUCAACCACCACUAUCAAUCAAUGCAGUAAUUGAUUUUUUUUCUGAGUACAAGAAGAAAUCUUUGCAUAUAAGCUCACCACUGGCAGCAAGAGUGACGCAGUACAUUUGGGUAAAAAAAUAAAACUCUCGAAUUUGCUGGCUUUAGGAGGAAGAUCAUGCUUAAGACAAUCAUCUUCCACUAUCUAAUUAUUUAUCAACCACUACCUCCACUUAACAAAAAUGAGACCUACGCACUAGCCUGCACCACCACCCUUUUUCUCCACCAAACUUUCCACUUACUUCAUUCCUUCUCUCAUACACCAAGCACCAGAAAGGGAGAUGAAGUUCCUGCUGCCAACUGCCAAGUAUCGAGAGUUUCUUCUCCAUUGAAUUCAUUAUCAACAACAGCAGCUACCAACACAAAAUACUCAAGGUAAUUUGAUAUCCCAAAUAUUCAACUCAGUUUGCAUCCAUAUCUAGCAUAUCACAGUUCAUCUACAUCAAAUAGCCUAGAUAUUUCGUACAAUAGAAAGUAUAAACUUCACAAACAGGCUGCACUCUAGAACAACAAGCAUAUGAGUUUAUGCAAAACAAAGAAAGAAUACACCUUAGCUCAUAAUCCAACACAGGGCUCAUUGACGAGCAUAUAACAACGCUGUUAUUCAUUUAGCACAGUAGCAAAAUUUCCACGGCUUAUAAACGGAAUUAGGAAAAACCACAACCCCUCGUAUUAAACUUUCACAUCAUAAGCAAAUGAAUCAAGAUACAAUAGUAGAAUGAAACUAGAGAACUUAGCUUAAGAAAUAGGGCCGAUUGCCCUGCUCUGAAUCGGGAUUUAACGGCGCCGAGGAGUAGGCGAGGCGACACCCUUCGCCGGGAACAGCGACAGCAACGGCGAAGCCGGCCUCCAGUAGCAGCAGCGGCGGUGGCGUGGCACAAAUCGAACCCCGUCGACCCCGGAGAACAACGAAGGCGGACUUUACCUGGUCGCCGGAGGAACGCGAAGGAGAUGGCGGCGAUUCGUGGAGGAGAGCGAAACCGGCAGUCAGUUGCCGGAUUUACAGAGCCACGGCGACCAGCCAUCAGAUUCUGAUGGAGACGCGGUGCAGCGGCGACCUGGUAUUUGACGAUUAGGGCUCGCCCUUCCACUCUCUUCUUCCCGAACACGGAUUUGAGGCCGAGACACCAAGUUUGGAGGGGGGACGACAACUAGCGGUCGCCGGACUUACAGAAACGGCGGAGGAUUCGAUCUCAGGGAAAGCUAGGGCUCCUCCUCUCAGUCGAGUUUGAGAGGUAAAUCGAGAGAGAGGAGAUGAGGGAGCAGACCGACGUCGGGGUUCUGAGCAACGCUGGCCUCGCCGGCGGCUGGAAUGGUCAGAGUACGGAGCGGCGACGGCAGAUCUGCGGGAGACAGAUCGGGUGAGAAAUUGAGAGAGGGAAGUAGAUGGAGAGAGAGAGAAAUGGACCAGGGGCGAUGUCCUCGGCUGGCCGUCGUUCUCGCCGGAGCCGUUCGCGGCGGAGCUCGCGUAGAGCGGGCGAGAGAGAGAGAGAUGUCUUGAGCGGCGACUGUUUGAAAAAGAUAGAUAGAGAAAGGCGUGAAUUGCUUGAGAGAGAGUGGAGCGUGUUCUGCUGGGAGAAGAAGAGAGAACCGACUUGGAGGAAAAGAAAUUGGGCUUUAGUUAAUUAAUUGAAGUUGGGCCUCUUUUGUUAAUUCAAUUGGGCUUUUAGCAUUUAUUUACAUUGGGCCGGGUUAUUUCUUUAUUUUGGGCCGAGUCUUGGGCCGAUUUUUAAUAAGUGAUGGGCCGAUUUUUUUAAAUGGAAUUUGGGCCUCAUCAUUUAUUUUAAUUGGGUUUUUAUCUUUUAAAAGAUUGAGCUUGUGUUUAAAUGGUAUUGGGCUUUGGCUAUGGGCCGAUUUUAUUAAAGUCUUUGGACCGAUUUUAUUAAAGUCUUUGGGCCCUGAUUUAAAUUGAAACAUUGGGCUUAUGUUUUUUUAAAGAAAUGGGCUAUCUUAUUAUUUAACUGGGCUGGAGUUCAAAGAAAAAUGGAUACUUAUUAAUUAGACUAUUUAUUUAGUUUAAUUAAUUAUUUUUCUCAAAAGAUGAUUUACAUAAUAAUAAUAUUGUAUUAUUAUUAUGUGCAUAUUUUAAGUAAAUUACUUAUUAUAUGCUAAGCAUGACAUGAAAUUGCAUUUUUACUUGCAAUAAAAGUAUUUAAUUGGUUUUAAUUAUAAAUCCAAUUAUUAAAGAAAGACGAGUAAGAAUAUUGUUGGUGUUCUUAACUCAAGAGAAAUGUUUUCAAUUAUUUAUUAAAUUUUGAAAAGCCCGAUAAUUUUUAUGAGAUCACACCUCGAUUAAAGCCGAGUUAGUUCUUUAUUUCGAUCGAGUACAAAUACGAGAUCUAUUUUACAAUUAGAAUAUUCCGAUGGGAAAUGAAGAAUCACAGCUCUAUUUGACCGCGUUAGACGAGAAUUAGUUAAAUCUAUUAACAAUGAUUAAUAGUAGAAUUCCCGAUUAUCGCUCAGAAGAUUAGUUCAUGCAUACAAGAUUCAUGCACAGUUAAAUUAUGCUUUCUCAUUAAUUGGGAAUUUUCCUUGAGCCAAUGUCUUAUUUUAUAUUCUCGUGAUUAAGGUCAAGCGCGAGAGUAAGAACUACUCAAGGAGUCACAGUACUUAGCAAAACUUUGCUAUCAGGUGGGCAAUUUCUUACGCGUAAAUAAAAUGCUAUGCAUGUGUUAUGCUUUAUAAUGCAAAUUGGAUCUUCAAGUAUGGUAUGCUUUAUUAUGCUUUACGCUAAAUGAUUUACGCUUGAUUACGCUUAUUUACGCUUGAAUGCUUUACGCUGAUAAGUUUAUGCCUGUGAUUGAUGCUUGCGUCUGUUGGGGGAGGCCUCCCUCAACAGUACGAUGCCGUGUCCGCUGAGGAGGGCCUUCCUCACGGCGCGAUGCCCGUGUCCGCUGAGAGAGGCCUCUCUCGCGGCGCGAUGCCAGUAUGCCAGUGUUACAGCGUCUAUUGGGGGAGGCCUCCCUCAAUAGUACGAUGCCGUGACCGCUGAGGGAGGCCCCCUUCACGGCGCGAUGCCCGUGUUCGUUGGGGAAGGCCUUCUCCACGACACGAUGCGUGUUUAUGAUUGUUAAUGAUGAAGAAUGCGCUCAUGCUAUUUAUGAAUUUGGAAAUGUUUAAUGAGCAAAGGAUUUGAAAGAAACUUAUGCCUCUUAUGCGAAGUUGUGUUUUGUUGUUGAUAUUAUGUUAUAUGUUUGGCAACUGCCCACUAAGUACUCUUGUACUUAGCCCUUCAAUGUUUAUGAUUGUGCAGGUUGAGCUGUGAUGGGCGAUGAAGUGUUGCUGAGUGGAGUUUUUGUCGAACUUAAAGUAGGCUCAGAAAGGAUACAUGUCUUCAUACAUGUAUCUCAGUUAUGCAUUCCGCUGUAAACACUGAUUAUUUCAGUUACACCUUCCGUUGCAAACUCUGAUAAUGUUUUAGCCAAGCCCCUAAAAAUGCCUUUUUCCUUUUAAGGAAUAUAACGCGUAUACAAGUUCUUUGAGUACCCUUUUUAUGCGAACUAUGCCUUUUUCCUUUUUAAGGAAUAUUUCACGCGUAUUCAAGCUCUUUGAGUAUUCUUUUAUGCACCCCUUUCUAAACCCGCUUCUUAUUUUCCCUUCCCCAGUCAUGGUUUUCCCGG
rnacentral:lncRNA from 1 species